rnacentral:rRNA from 1 species
UAGGGAAUCUUCCACAAUGGACGAAAGUCUGAUGGAGCAACGCCGCGUGAGUGAAGAAGGGUUUCGGCUCGUAAAACUCUGUUGUUAAAGAAGAACAUAUCUGAGAGUAACUGUUCAGGUAUUGACGGUAUUUAACCAGGAAGCCACGGCUAACUACGUGCCAGCAG